UACGUAGGGGGCAAGCGUUGUCCGGAUUUAUUGGGCGUAAAGAGCGUGUAGGCGGCUUCACAGGUCCGCUGUGAAAACUCGAGGCUCGACCUCGAGCUGUCGGUGGAAACCGUGUGGCUAGAGUCCGGAAGAGGAGAGUGGAAUUCCCGGUGUAGCGGUGAAAUGCGCAGAUAUCGGGAAGAACACCCGUGGCGAAGGCGGCUCUCUGGGACGGUACUGACGCUGAGACGCGAAAGCGUGGGGAGCGAACAGG
rnacentral:rRNA from 1 species